GCCUCCGCUCCUCUGAUUGGCCUCUCCUCUGUUUCACUCUGCUUUUCCCUUUGCCCGCUUUGCUUCUACUCCUCUCACUCGCCCGCCCGCCUCUCUUUCCUCGCCCCUUCCUUCGCUUCGGAUUCCCUCCCAUCCCGUCCCCUCCCCCCCGGCUCUCUCGCUCGCGCACCAACCCAAAACCCUAGCCAGCCCGCACGCCCAUGGCGUCGUCCCCCGCGCGCCCCGCCGCCGCGUCCGUCUCCGGCGCCUUCGGCCUCCCGCCCGACGCCCGCUGCUCCUUCGACCAGACGCGCCGCCGCGCCGAGGAUUCGCAGGACAAGAGGCAGCUGGUGCGGACGUUCGUCAACGUGUACGGCCAGGAGGGCUACCCCAAGGAGGCCGUCAUGGCGGCCGUCGAGGAGUGCAUGAGGAAGCAGGCCGAGGGACUGCUGCAUUCGCUCGAGGGCAUCGGGGGGAGGCUCUCGCAGCUCGAGCUCUACUGCUACAAGCUCGAGCGCUCCAUCGGGGAGCUGCGCAGCGACGUCAUGGACUACCACAGCGAGGGCACCGUCAACUUCCGCUGCCUCGACAAGAAUCUCAGACAGGUUCAGAAAGCUGUGCAGAUGCUUCAGGAUAAGCAUGAGCCUGCUGACACGGCGCAGCAACUGGCCAAACUUCAAAUAGCGCAUGAAUUCCCUGCUAGAACAAAUGAAGCCACUGCCUUGUCGAUGCUUGCUUCAAGGGAAAAUGUCAACGAUCAGAGCACACAAUUCGCCAACCCUGAGGUUUCUUUUGUGCCAAUUCACCAAGUUAAUACCAUGCAGUCUCCUGCUAUGCCGAACCAAAGUAGCGGCGGUUAUAUUCUGCAGCAACUAGUGCCCGUCUCUUUGAGCACGCAACAUGAUCAGCAACAUCCGAGCCAAGCUGCGGUGUACUAUAUGCAAAGCCAAAGUCAAGUGAACUGCACAGAGAACAAACCGUCCGAGUCUUUUGUUCAGGUUAUGCAGCCGCAUGUCCAGAACCCUGAAGCCAGGGUUGCAGUUGAGCUACCUCAGAAAUCUAGUCAGCCAACGGAAAUGUACCCUCCACUGCAGCAUCAUAUGCUACAAAUGCCUGCUCAGCAUCACGAGUCACAGGCAUGGCGAUCACAGCCACCUGUCGCGCAACAGCAGCACUACAGUGUUCAGCAAGUCCCACCACAGAUGGUUCAACAGAAAACAUCUUCUCCUCAUGCUCAAAGUACUCCUCAAGUCACGCUCAUGUAUCCUCAAUACUCUUCUCAGAAGCCUGCCAAUGCUACCACUGAGCCACUUCCGAGAAGUUUGGUUGGGCAGUCUCCAUACUCUUCACCCCAGCAGAAGCAUCAUGAAGUCAUGCCUUCGUUUUAUGGCCAAGGCAACACAAUUUUGCUUCCCACGGCAGAGCAUAAUAUCCAGCAUCAACAGCCACAGCAACUGCAAACGCAGAGCCAGGCCUCAUGCCCACCUCAACCAAACAAGCCCAGCCACUGCAGUGUUGCAUCAUAUGCUGUUCAGGGUAGUGGCCGAGCCCACACUGCCACAUAUAAGAAUCCUGCUGAGAGCCCUGCAACUGUUGUUGCUGUUCUGCCUCAGCAUUCGGCAACAGCUCCUAUGGCGUUUCAUCAUUUGGGGCAACAAAUCUUGCAUAAGAAUCCAUAUGGAAGUAUGUUUGAAACGACCAGUGUAGUAGGGUAUCCACAUGAUCUGGUUGGGAGUAUGACGCUUCCAGUGGUGACUGCGGACUCCAGUAACAUGGUUGAUAAGCUCAAUGCUGGUAGCAAUGUUACAUCCCCGCGAGACUGGCCUGCAUAGCGCAGAAUGGGCAGUUGUUGGGUACUUCAUUGUUACCACAAAACUUAUUUCCAUGACUAUAGCUGGAAGCUUGUCGGCUCUCACCCGGGUAUUUCAUCUGGCUUCCUUUUUAUUAGCCAGCAGAUUGGUACAGAUCCUUCUACUGUUUUUUCUGCUGAAGGGUCAAUCUGAAAUAAAAAUGAUAGAUUAGUCUAGUGAUGAUGCUGGCGUAUGUCCUCACUUUUAAUGGACAUAUCUUGCUUGUAACCGACAGUUGGCGAUGAACCUGUGCCUAUGCGAUAUGAAUAUAUGACGAGUUUACAUC
rnacentral:rRNA from 1 species